UUCAUCUCUUAGAAACUGUAGGCUUACCGAUUCCCUUUCACCUUCUCCGGCGAUGUAACGAUGUAGUUAUGACCUUCAAUCACGUUAUCCCACUAAACUCACAACCACCCCUCUUCAUUGCUUCUUUAAUUACACAUUUUAAAGCUUAAUUAUGUGUAUAUCUACACCAUCUGAGAGCCCCCUGCAGUUCCCUUACUUUCAUAAAACCUAAAAAUAUAUCGCUCAUGUUCUCUUUUAAUGGACGAUAGUUGGCAAUUUCUCAGUUUUAUUUCUCUGAUUUGAGUCAAGCGGCUACACACAGUCAGUUCAGGCAAGAUUCCUAUGUGUUUUUCGGAAGCCAAUAAAGUAAUGAAAAGAGGUGAGCUGAUGGGUAUUGAUAUGCUUAUGAUGGUUCCUAUUUUUAUUUGCAGUAAAUCAAUGUUAUAUUCUUUUUUUCUUCUCAGGAUAGACAAAUCCAGGAAUCAAUUAAAGUGCAACUAUUCAACACCUUAAAAAAAAUGAAGUAUCUAGCUUAAUGUUUUGUAUUUCAUAUGAAGGAGCAACCCUUACUUCCGGUUUGGAGAAAUCCAUGUUUCUAUUAGAUUUACGGAGCAAACCGUGUUUGUUGAGGUCGCUGAAACCGAUUCCAGUGGAGAGUUUUGGGUUUUGCAAUUACGAACACCUUAUGGUAUUGGCUAACACCAACACAGAUUUUUUUUCCAGGUCUGAUUUUAUUUCCAUCCUUUUCAAGUAUUACCUAUAUUAAUUUCACUGUUUCUCUCACACAUUCUUUCUCUACCAUUGUUUCCACUGUUUCGCUUAGACAAUUUGUGGGAAAAUAAAAGGCAUCAAAACCACCUUUAAUAAUGAGAACCAGACUGUUCAAACUUAUAAUGUUUUACCACUUAAAUUUCAAGGUUGAAAAUCUCUGCUAAAAAUAUUUCUUUGAUUUAAGUUAUGGUGUUUUACGUUACUUGGUUUUAACUGGUACUAUAAUGAACCUCAACCAACUCUGGAGAGCAACCACUGUGUGCGUAAGUGUGUUUGAUAUCAUUGUUAGUCUGUUCCAUGAGACAUAAAUGCGUAGUGUUGUGGAGCCUAAGGUCUUUGUUGCAACGAACAUAAAACCAAAAUUAAUAUUCGUCUAUAUCCAAUUACAUUGUCAUAACAGCUUUCAUGCUAACCUUACGCAGCAUUGCAGGCCGCCUUUUCCUCAAUGCAACCUCCGGAACACAUUUCUACUUUAACCAAGAAAGUGUAACCAGCCAGAGCUUUCUGCAAGACUAAGUAUAUUCAAACUAAAACAUUUGACAAAACUUGCUUCCUACUUGCGUACUUAUACCCUGUACAACACAAUUCUGCAAGGUUUUGUGGAUCCGACAUUGGUAGCUCCUCCACUCCUUCCAAGUAUGGCAGUGUACAGAAAAUUGAGUUAGCAACAAUUGUGGAGUUUAUUGUCUGUGUCGUGAAUUCACCACCUCAGGCGGUACGGUAGAAUUCCACUGCACUGGCCAAGUCAAUGACAUUGAGAAAACUGAUGGACCAAUGCUUCAUCAUCAAAGCUUUGCUUACAAGGAGGUGGUGACUACCCUGGAAAUGAUAUUCUGGAUGCUGUGACUCUCACUAUUAACCCUCUCAUGUGAUGAGGAGCAGUGGUUCACAUAAUACCACAUGAAGUAACACCGCUCCAAUUUUUGAAGGAAGCAUGGCUGAGUCAGCAGUACUACCUGCUCAACCUGAUGCAUUUUUAGCACCGGAAAGGAUACCACAGAGCCUGAGAUCUCCAACCAUAGAGAUCCAUGACAAUAUUAAUAUAGGUGAAGAACCAAUUCCACACUGAACGUGCUAAGUUUGAGUCAAUAAUUUUUCUAUUAUAUAGAUUGUCGUCUUUUUAGUUUGCUUGGUUAUAUACUUAUAUCAUAUAUGAAUACGUUUAUCUCA